rnacentral:rRNA from 1 species
AUUGAACGCUGGCGGCAUGCUUUACACAUGCAAGUCUAACGGUAACAGGCCGCAAGGUGCUGACGAGUGGCGAACGGGUGAGUAAUGCAUAGGAACGUGCCCAGUCGUGGGGGAUAACUAUCCGAAAGGAUAGCUAAUACCGCAUACGAUCUGCGGAUGAAAGCGGGGGACCUUCGGGCCUCGCGCGAUUGGCGCGGCCGAUGUCAGAUUAGGUAGUUGGUGGGGUAAAGGCUAACCAAGCCAACGAUCUGUAGCUGGUCUGAGAGGACGUCCGGCCGAACUCGGACUGAGACACGGCCCAGACUCCUAAGGGAGGCAGCAGUGGGGAAUUGUGGACAAUGGGCGCAAGCCUGAUCCAGCAAUGCCGCGAGCAGGAAGAAGGCCUUCGGGUUGUAAACUGCAUUUGUCCGGAACGAAACGGCUCUGGUUAAUACCUGGGGCUAAUGACGGUACCGUAAGAAUAAGCACCGGCUAACUACGUGCCAGCCGCCGCCGCGG